rnacentral:rRNA from 1 species
GAUGAACGCUGGCGGCGUGCUUAACACAUGCAAGUCGAACGGGCAUAUCUUUCGGGGUAUGUUAGUGGCAGACGGGUGCGUAACACGUAGGUGACCUGCCUCGAAGUGGGGAAUAACUAUCCUAACGGAUGGCUAAUACCGCAUGUGCUCGAAGAUUCGGUUUUUCGAGUAAAGGCGUAAGUCGCUUCGAGAUGGGCCUGCGGCGGAUUAGGUAGUUGGUGGGGUAACGGCCUACCAAGCCGAUGAUCCGUAGGGGGCGUGAGAGCGUGGCCCCCCACACUGGCACUGAGACACGGGCCAGACUCCUACGGGAGGCUG